rnacentral:lncRNA from 1 species
UUUUUUUUUUUUUUUUUUGCUUUUUAGGGCCAUACCUGUGGUAUAUGGAGGUUCUCAGGCUAGGGGUCGAAUCGGAGCUACAACUGCAGGCCCGCACCACAGCCACAGCAAUGCAGUAUCCGAGCUGUGUCUGCAACCCACACCACAGCUCACAGCAGUGCCAGAUCCUUACCCCACUGAGCAAGGCCAGGGAUCAAACCAGCCACCUCAUGGUUACUAGUCAGAUUCAUUUCUGCUGCACCACACGGGAACUCCAAUAUUAAUGUGAUUCUAAUCUGCAUCCAAUAUUGAGAACUGCUGCUGGACAAAUAAUGCUACAUAAAGUUUUCCGCCUGAGAGCCAUUGUGAACUUGAUAAGCUAAAAACAGAAAUCUAACCACAUGUAUGUUUAUAGCGCCUACAAUAAUGUAUGAAAGUCAUUUGUUUAAGCAAAGAUCCUUCACUUCACUCUUCUGAACAAAACCUUACAAAAACAGGAACAGAGAAACACUAAGUCACUGAUAAAACCAAAAAAAAAAAAAAAAAAUGUUAUUUUAAUAAGACUACCUAAAGUUUGUCAGGUCAGCACACUGGCACAAAAUGUCUCCAAGUAGCCAAGAAAUAAUUACAGCAUAAAUAAAGGUUUUCUAACAUACAAUUCUGACAUGAAUUUGUUUGGCUAAAAUUACCUACCCUUUUUUCUAACGCAGCUCUAUUCAAGACAGCUGAAAACUGAAAACAACCCGGAUGUCUCUGAACACUUCUACUUUUAAAAGGUUUUCUAUGUUCUAAAAUUGAUUGUGGUUAUUGUUGCACAACUGUGAAUAUGCUAAAAACCACUAAAUUGUAUCUUUUUUUUUUUUUUUUUUUUAGGUCCCCACGGCAUAUGGAGGUUCCCAGGGUGUGGACCUAAAAGAAAAAGAAAAAAAAAAGAGUUUUUUCACAACUGUAUACAGACUACGCUAUCCCACAAAAUCUUAGUACAAAUCAUUCAUUUAAUGUUAAAUCUCAUUUUUUUUAUAUAUAUAUAUUCUCCUACAAUCAAGUAUAUUCCAUACUGAAAGAACUUUGGGUUCAACAGCUUUUAAAAAUCCCAGUCUGGAACGAAAAAUUGAAACUAUAAAAUUUAACCUUAAGAUACUGAAAUGAAUGCUGUCACAACUGGGGAGCAGGGGGUGAAGUGUGCCAAAGUUUUAGUGCAUCACAAAGUGGGAUAGGGUGGAAGCAAAAUGGGCCUAAAGUGUCACAAGUCCCGAAUCCUGACCCCAUCGCUUGUGAGCUGAGUAUGCUUGGACGAGUUACUCACAAUUGCUAUAAAAAUUCUAAAUCAGAAAUUCUUCCAUAUGCUGCAGAUGCGGCCCUAAAAAGCCAAAAAGAAAAAAGAAAGUCUUUGUGAGAAUAAGCUAACAAAUAUUAAGAAACCUUUCAAAAAUGGUUUGGUGCCUGAAAAUAACCAGUGUUGACAUUAUGUUGGCUCUCUUACAAAAAGAGAGAGGACAGAGUUCAGAGAGAGACCUUGGCUUUUUCCAAGAAUCUCUCAAACUUUGUUCUCCACCCACUUUUCCCUGUGGCAUCACUUAUGCUGCUGCAGGGUUCUCUUGUCCAUGUAUCUUCUCCUCUAUAAAAGAGAGACAUAUGUCUUUAAAGAAGUUAUUGAACUAUAAAUUAAGUCCUCUAGUUCACUCUGGAAAAUAAGCACAGCUGAUGAAACAAACUAGGGUCUGGCUUCCUUCAUCUGCCUUCUGGACCUAGGACGAUACUGUGUGUUUUUAUUAUAGCGCAAUUAUAUACUGCAAGUGGGUUUUGUGCACUAGUUUGUUUUGCGGUGGUUUUUCUGACAAGCAUCCAGCCAACUAUGGGAAAGGGAAAGAGCUAGAAGGGAUGUUAGGGGGCAGAGGAGUUCUAAUAUCUAUCUAGAAGAGCAGAACUGUCAGCGCAGUUCUUAUCAGAAAGGUUCCAUCUUCACAGUAAGGGGAUAAAUCCAAAAUUCCAUGCAUAGAAUGGUAACUUUUUGCAGGAGGCCGUCUUUCUCUUUCAGAGAUCCUAUUACAAUGAAGCUCAAUUGAUCCCAUUCAAAAAAGUUAGAGACUUUGUCUCCAAAACAUGUUAUUGGUAUCCCCCCAAGAGAAAAAUCCUGUGAUGAAAAAUACUUUUCAUUUAGAAACAAAAGACACAAGCAUAUGGAAACGUUUCCCUGAAUUUUUUCAAGCAUUACUGAAAACUGUUAUGAAGCAUGAUUAUAAAUGGUCAUAAAUUUAAUACUAUUAUUUAAUUGAAUCUUCAACUCCUUUGUAAGGAUUAAUUAUUUCUUACAUUAAAUUUCCCUCAUUGUCUGAUGAUAUGGAAAUAUAUAUACCCACAUGUGUGAGCUGUUCAACUGUAAUUAAUGAUGCACUUUUAUUCUCUAUUAUUGUGUGGAAAACAUUCUGACACAAAAUAAAUGAAGCAUAAUCAUUCAGAGUAAUGAUUCGAAUGUACUGAUUAAUGACACCAAAUAGCUUUUCUGUUCUUUCGUUAAAUUAAAACAUUUACUGGGAAUCACAGGGCAUUCCUAAAUGAAUGUUUUCUAGGUAAUCAUUUUUCCUUAUGGAAAUCACCUACCCUACCGUCACUGAAAACAAGCUCCCAUCAACAGUAAAAUGGAGCUUUAUUUCACAUGCAAGAAACAAAAACUGUCAAUUAGACCAGCAUACAAUGCUAAGCUGCCUUCAGAGAUGUUAUUUUUAAAUUUUUUUUGGCUGCACCUACAGCAUGCAGAAGGUCCCGGGCCAGGGACUGAACCUGCACCACAGCAGUGGCAACACCAGAUCCUUAACCUGCUAGGCCACAAGGGAACUCCAGAGAUGCUGGAAGGGGGCCCCUGGGGAAGAGAAUGUACAUAUAUAUGAUAGCAUUCUCUUCCCAGAACAUGCAGUAAAUGCUAAUUAAAUAGUUUUUAAAUGCUGCAACAAAGUAUUUGACUUGAAAUAUGCCUGUCACCAAAAACGGUAUGAUUUCACUUACAUGAGACACCUAGAGUUCAUAAAUAGAAAGUAAAAUGGUAGUUGCCAGGGGCUGGGAGGAGGAGGAGGGGACAGAGAAUUAUUAUUUAUGGGUACAAAGUUGUAGUUUUGCAAGAUGAAAAAGGGCCUAGAAGAUGGGGGUGAUAAAAUCUGCAUAUCCUUAAUGUCACUAAACUAUACAAUUAAAAAUGGUUAAGAGGGAGUUCCUGCUGUGGCCCAGUGGACUAAGAAUGUGACUGCAGAGGCUCAGGUUUCUACGGAGGCACAGGUUUUGAUCCCCAGCCUGGCACAGUGGGUUAUGAAGGAUCCGGCAUUGCCGCAGCUGCAGUGUAGGUCGCAGUUGCAGCUCACAUUCAGUCCCUGGCCCGGGAACUUCCAUGUGCUGUGGAUGCAGUUGUUUUUAAAAAAAAAAUUAGAUAAGAUGGUAAAUUUCACAUUAUAUGUAUUUUUGUAAAUUUUACAUUAUAUGUAUUUUAUCACAACUUAAAAUGACAAUAAUAAAUAUCUCCACACACGAAAAUAAUGGCAUAAAACAAAAUCACUAAGCCAUGAAAACCUUAAGCUAGAAAGUACCUAAAUCCAACCCAACCAAUUGUUAACUUGACAAGGUAGCUUUUCCUUGAAAAACGUCUAUUUCUGAGGAAACACUGAGUCCUCUCUCAAUGGGCUAAAGAGACAAUUCUAUGAACUCUUACUGAUUCCUGAAGCUAUAGUGUCUGAAACUGCUACAGUCUCUGAAACACAAAGGUUUGCUGAGAUAGUAGUUUACAUAUUUGAUCUACCAUCAGAAUCACCAGUGGGCUUUUAAAAGAUUUCCAGAUACUUCACACACACUGGGAUGGCUACUAUCCAAAAAAACAAAAAACAAAAAGUAAAAUUAAGUUUUUGCAAGGAUGUGGAGAGUCUGAAACGCUACCCUGUUAACAGGAAUAGAAAAUGCGUAAAAUGGUGUAAAUGAUAUGGAAAGCAGUAUGACAUUGCCUUAAAGAAUAAAAAGAACUACCAUAGGAUCCAGCAAUCCUGCUUCUUUCCAGGUAUAUAUCUAACAGAAUUGAAAACGGGGUCUCAAAGAAAUAUCCGCACACCCAUAAUCAUGGCAGCACUAUUCAUAAUAGUCAACACAUCAAAGCAACCCAAUUUCCAGCGACAGAUGAAUAGCUACACAAAAUAGGGUACACACAUACAAUGCAAUGUUAAUCAGCCUUAAAAAAAGGAAGGAAAUCCUGUCACAUGCUACAAUGUGGAUGAACCUUGAAGACCUUAUGUUAAGUGAAAUAAGCCAAUGACAAAAAGACAAACACGGUACAAUUUCACUUAAAUAAAGAAGCUAAAAUAGGCAAUUUCAUAGAAACAGAAAAGAGAUUGCUCGUCACCACAGGCUGAGAAGAGGACAAAACGGGGAGUCGUUUCAAUGGACGUAGGUUCAAUUUUGCAUGGUAAUUCCCAAACAAUGUGAAUAUACAUGACUGAUCCUGUUGCUUAUGUAUAGCACAAGGAACUAUAUCUAACCACUUGAUGGAGGAUGGCAUGAGGAAAGAAAUGUGUUCACACACACACACGUAUAUACCCAUACACACACAAAAUAAAAAUCUUAAAAAAAUAAAAACACAACCAAUCAGUAGAUUUCCUGAUCCCCUUCACAAACCCACUGAUACGUUUUCUGGCAGUUGCGUGAAAACACCACUCUUUGUAAAAAGCUCCCCAGGUGCAGGAACUUCGAGCCAGUAGACAGAGAUCUGGCAAUUAUAUUGGUUCCCCAACUGAAACACAAACACAAUGGCAGCCGUCUUUAACACUUCCCUUUGUUUUUGACAACUGUUUGUAAACAGGUGUCUGCAAAAUAUUUCCUAAAAUGGAGAGUGAUCAACUUGAAAAUGUUACUUAAAGAAAUGAUGGAUUUUAAUUUGAUACUGAUGAGGAAAAAGACAACGCAAGUCCCUUAAAUUCUCUCUACAAUAUUUUCUCUUCCCAUCACUACACUGAUACCAAUGGAUGGAGCCCAGGUUCACUGACAGCAGCAUCUGCUUUUGGGGUUUAGAAAGAGUCUUCUGCUGAGUCUACAGAGUCCAGAGAACCUCUGAUACCCAAUUACCAUCUUGGGCCAAUGCAGGGCCAGACACUUCUAGACAACAAGAAAAGCAACUAGAGGAGUUCCCAUUGUGGAUUAGCGGUAAGGAAUCUGACUGGUAUCCAUGAGGACACAGGUUCAAUUCCUGGCCCCACUCAGUGGGUUAAAGAUCCAGCAUUGCCACAAGCUGCGGUGUAGGUCACAGCUGCGGCUCAAACCUGGCAUUGCUAUGGCUGCAGUGUAGGCCAGCAGCUAUGGCUCAGAUUCAACCCCUAGCCUCACAACUUCCAUAUGCCACAGGUGUGGCCCUAAAAAGAAAAAAAAAGAAAAGCAACUAUAUAGCGAAGCAGUAGAAGAAGCAGACAAAAGAGGCCUUACAAACUAAGUCUUCCACUUCAUUGCUAGGUGAUUUUGAAAAACACUGAACCUAAGCGUUCCCCUCGUGGCUCAGAGGUAAUGAACCUGACUAGCAUCCAUGAGGAUGCGGGUUUGAUCCCUAGCCUCACUCAGUGGGUUAAGGAUACAGUGUUUCCUGUGAGCUGUGGUGUAGGUCGCAGACAUGGCUCGGAUCCCACAUUGCUGUGGCGAUAGUGUAGGCUGGCAGCUGUAGCUCUGAUUCAACCCCUAGCCUGGGAACCUCCAUAUGCCGCGGGUGUGGCUCUAAAAAGAUUAAAAAAAAGACAAAUACUGAACCUUGAUGAUUUCAUGGAAGAAGAGCAGGAAUAAUAAUCACAGAUUAUUUAAGAAGAUUCACUGGGAUAAUAUAUGUAAAACACUUAACGCAAUAACUAGAGCAUGGUAGGUAUUCAGUAAUCAGAAGAUGACACUAUCACUACUGUUGCCUCAUUCAUUGACCUCCUUUUUUAUUAAAAAAUUACUUUAAGUGCUCUAGAUGUCAGUACUCAUCACUCUAUGAACUCACUGAUGUUUGUCUCUACUUCUGAAUUACAACCUCAAGAACCUGGUUGAGGAUUCUGUUUUUUUCCUGUGUUCCUCGGAGAUCAUCACAUGAUAUUAAGCAACCAGGAGAUAUUGUAUUUACAACUCAAACGUUCACUCAACAGGCAAUAGCUAUGGAUUUGCCACAUACAAGGCACCAUCCUAGGUGCAGACCGUACACUGAUUCCUACAAACGAGUUUACAAUCCAUGCUCGAUAAGGUCUGCUUGACUGAGUUACUCACUGGAACAUCUGAAACAUGCACAUGGCAUUAUAUACUGGCCUGGAAAGCCUCCUUCUACUAUUUACAAUAACUUACUUCCCUGUUCCACUCCUAUCAGAAAGUCACCUAUUUGAUUAUUACAAUGACUAGUGUCACCUGUAUAGACUAUAGAAUCUCAGGUUCCAGAAACCUCAACCACUGGGAUCUGUCUAAAAAGAGAAAACAUCUAUACAUGCCUCCCAGCUUGUAAAAGAGCCAAUCAGAAUUUUUUACCUUAAUGAAAAGUAUCCUACGGCGAAACUGUUGCUACAAGAACAAAAGAAAUUCACAGAACCCUAUUUAUCUAUGAUGCUGCAAACAUAUUUCAGUCUUUUCACAGACUGCGCUUUCUUUCCAA